rnacentral:rRNA from 1 species
AUUGAACGCUGGCGGCAGGCCUAACACAUGCAAGUCGAACGAGUGGCGGACGGGUGAGUAAUGUCUGGGAAACUGCCUGAUGGAGGGGGAUAUCUACUGGAAACGGUAGCUAAUACCGCAUACCAUCAAAUGUGCCCAGAUGGGAUUAGCUAGUUGGUGGGGUAACGGCUAACCAAGGCGACGAUCCCUCGCUGGUCUGAGCGGAUGACCAGCCACACUGGAACUGCGACACGGACCAGACUCCUACGGGAGGCAGCAGUGGGGAAUAUUGCAAAAUGGGCGCAAGCAGGAUGCAGCCAGGCCGCGUGUAUGAAGAAGGCCUUCGGGUUGUAAAGUACGUUCAGCGGGGAGGCGUUACCCGAAGAAGAAGCACCGGCUAACACCGUGCCAGCAGCCGCGGUAAUUC